rnacentral:rRNA from 1 species
UAGGUGUAGGCGUAGCGAAAGCGAGUCUUAAUAGGGCGACUAAGUUUGUUGGAUUAGACCCGAAACCGAGUGAUCUAGGUAUGAGCAGGUUGAAGGUGCAGUAACAUGCACUGGAGGACCGAACCCACGCCUGUUGAAAAAGGCGGGGAUGACUUGUGCCUAGGGGUGAAAGGCCAAUCAAACUCGGAAAUAGCUGGUUCUCCGCGAAAUCUAUUUAGGUAGAGCGUUAGAUGAAUACCAUCGGGGGUAGAGCACUGGAUGGGCUAGGGGUUCUCACCGAAUUACCAAACCUAACCAAACUCCGAAUACCGAUGAGUAAUAUCUGGCAGACACACUACGGGUGCUAAGGUCCGUAGUGGAAAGGGAAACAGCCCUGACCGCCAGCUAAGGUCCCUAAGUUAUGGCUAAGUGGGAAAGGAUGUGAGAGUGCAUAGACAACCAGGAUGUUGGCUUAGAAGCAGCCAUCAUUUAAAGAAAGCGUAACAGCUCACUGGUCUAAAUAAGGGUUUCUGCGCCGAAGAUGUAACGGGGCUCAAGCCACGAGCCGAAGCUUAGGGUGUGCGCAAGCACGCGGUAGCGGAGCGUUCU